GUUCUCCCAUCCACACGUUUCCAGCCCAGACUCUCCUACUUAGUUUUACGUCCCCAUCAUGCCCAUAGGUUGUUCCGUUUGCAACCCCUCCAGGAGAAUUAUCAUGCGUCUCCUACUGCCUGUCUUCCUCACCCUCCGUCUCGCCGCACCUUUUCUUUGGGAUGUCAAUGACGUUGGUGCUCCAUCCAAGAUUGAGUUUUUUUAAAGAAUUGGUUCAGCACAUGAAUUUGUCCCGGCAUAGUUGAUUCAGCGGAUUCCUACUGCCUCUCUUCCUCACCCUCCGUCUCGCCGCAUCUUUUCUUUGGGAUGUCAAUGACGUUGGUGCUCCAUCCAAGUUUGAGUUGCUAUUAAAGAAUUGGCCAGCCGACGGAGAGAACAACACGUACUGGGUGAUACAAUUAUACUCACUCUGGGCAAUGGCCGUGACAAUCGAUUCAGAUCUGUGAGGUGUACGUGCAUGCUAAAUUGGUCCGGCUGAUUUUGACGAAGAGUUGAAGACCAUGUGCUGUGUGACGAGCUCAACACAGCCUGCGGAUAGAGCAGCCAUGAGUAGAUAAAUUGGGAGGAUAUAACUGAACAGGGAAGAAGCGCUUUAAGAUUUGGGAGGACUCUUAUUCUGGGAAGAGUCUAAUUAAUUAGAAGGAGAAAAAGACCCGGUCUCAUAGGAUUAUUUACCUACGAUUUUCUGCAAUCAUGCCAUCAGUGAACUACGUCUCUGAUUGAUUCUUGUCAAGACUGCAAGUCGAAAGAAUUGGAUGUGGCUCCCUAUGGCAUCUACGUAUCAUGCAGGCCGUCUACCUCCUCGAUCUACACCAUUGGACAACGGCCAAAGUUUCAGGCCAUCCGGGACAACCGUUGAAAAAUUGGAUGGCACUUGGUAAGCAAUGUGCUAUUCUCUUUCAUGUCAGAUUCAAGAGUUACUAAACCACUAUUAAUUGAUGGGUCACCCGGUGAGACCACCCAUGGUGACGCAAUAAUUGAUCUUUUAUGGUGACGGAGUCAUUAUGACAGUGUGAGCCGUACUCACCUUGGCCUCUUCCCCUGGAAGAAAAAAGGAUAGAGAAUUUGAGCGUGGUCUCCUCCUUCUAACCAUCCCAAGUUGUUGGAUGCCUUAUCUUACGUGGUUUCUCUUUAUUUUACGCACAUGCCUUCGCUCCUUCAUAGCUGCGUCCGUCGAGUAUUGUCGAGCCGCACAAGAUCUCCAGGUUCCAAAGCCCUAGCAUCUCGCAUCUUUCUCUUGCUUUGUUGUACCGCUGCACCAAUCCUUUCUGAGCGCCCACGCCAUCAGGCAUCAAGCCACUUUAUGCGCCGGUGGCCAGAUGCAGUCACCUUUCAGACCACUUCACACCUCACCGGCACGAUUGAUGCCUAUGAACUGGAAUAUAUGUGUGGUCAUCCUCCAGCUCCUUAAAUCGCCGGUUUGAUAUCUUCUCAAUGUUUCAUACUUUAUCUCGAUGGCACUCGAUACAUAUAUGGAUUUUGGUCUGAUCUCUUCUCAAUGUGCCAUGCUUUAUCUCAGAGGUAAUUGGUGAUACAUAUAUGGAGUUCAUGGGUAUGCAGUCUUAAUUGAUGCAUAGUCAUAUCUUGCUGAUGAAUAGAUGAAGAAAAUAGAUGCAUACAUAUAUGGUUGGAUUCUCAAGUAUGAAUACAGAGAAUAGAUGCAUACAUAGAUGGUUGGAUUCUCAAGUAUGAAUACAGAGAUAAAUGAUAUAUUGUGCCCAGCCCACCGAACGAAUGAAGCCACACAUGCCUUCACGUGUCUCUAAUCUCCGAAUCAGACAUCACACAGAUUUUCAUGAUUUCCGGAAAAGGUGUUGGAGGGCUGGGGUAGUUGAAUGUCAGUAUAGGUCACAACAGGUGUACAACAUGAUCAGCAGACUUACAAGUUCGUUCAUACAUGCUAACAUCAACUGGAUCUUCCCUCAGAAAAAACUGCGGGGGCUAUCUUGCAGUCUGGCUUCAUCCCAUGUCGCCAAAAGUGCCAGUUCUGGGUGAAAUUUCUGCUUCAUACUUCUACAAGCAUGCUGAUAGUUCAAUCGAUGUUUUGUAGCAUCUCCAGAUUAUAGUACUAUUGUCUGUGACCCAAAAAAUACUGCAAAGCAGACAUAACUUCUGUUGCACCUUAGCAUAAAGAAAAUUAGUCGUUGAAAAUACAUUUGCUUUCGUCAAGACAAUUGUAAUUCUUUUGUACUGGAAGAACUCUAGAUUAGAUGCGUGAUACCAAUUUCACCUUCGGUAUAGUCAUAUAUAUAUUUUAAGAUAUGCUUUUGGCUGUCCAAUAACACUUAUUUUUACCAUCUGUGAUUGAUGAAAGACACAGCAAAAAACGCGGACUCAUUUGCAGGUGCCUAAUAUGGCUUUUUUUGAAGUAGGACUCUGUUCUUCAACUCAGUAGAUUGUUAUUCCUUGC